UACGUAGGGGGCGAGCGUUGUCCGGAGUUACUGGGCGUAAAGCGCACGCAGGCGGUCUGCUAAGUUUGGAGUGACAGUUGGUGGCUUAACUGCCAAAGUGCUUCGAAAACUGACAGACUUGAGGGCUUCAGAGGGACACGGAAUUCCGGGUGGAGUGGUGAAAUGCGUAGAGAUCCGGAGGAACACCAAAGGCGAAGGCAGUGUCCUGGGUGGUCGCUGACGCUGAGAGGCGAAAGCCAGUGGAGCGAACGGG
rnacentral:rRNA from 1 species